rnacentral:rRNA from 1 species
GACGAACGCUGGCGGCGUGCUUAACACAUGCAAGUCGAACGGAAAGGCCCCUUUGGGGGUACUCGAGUGGCGAACGGGUGAGUAACACGUGAGUAACCUGCCCUUGACUUCGGGAUAACUUCAGGAAACUGGGGCUAAUACCGGAUAGGAAUCCUUGCUGCAUGGUGGGGGUUGGAAAGCUUCGGCGGUUUUGGAUGGACUCGCGGCUUAUCAGCUUGUUGGUGGGGUAGUGGCUUACCAAGGCUUUGACGGGUAGCCGGCCUGAGAGGGCGACCGGCCACAUUGGGACUGAGAUACGGCCCAGACGCCUACGGGAGGCAGCAGGGGGGAAUAUUGCACAAGGGGCGGAAGCCUGAUGCAGCAACGCCGCGUGCGGGAGGACGGCCUUCGGGUUGUAAACCGCUUUCAGCAGGGGCGAAGCUUGUGGUGACGGUACCUGCAGAAGAAGCACCGGCUAACUACGUG